UCCCUGGUGGUUCAAUGGCUAAGAUUCUAUGCUACCAAUGCAGGGGACUCAGGUUCAAUCCCUGGUCAGGGAA
rnacentral:tRNA from 1 species